rnacentral:rRNA from 1 species
GACAGAGGCCUUGAGCGUUAGGCGGAAUCACUGGGCUUAAAGCGUGUGUAGGCGGGCCCGUAAGUGUCUUGUGAAAUCCCACGGCUCAACCGUGGAACUGCUGGGCAUACUGCGGGUCUUGGGCCAACUAGGGGCAGCCGGAACAAGCGGUGGAGCGGUGAAAUGCGUAGAUAUCGCUUGGAACGCCGAAGGUGAAAACAGGCUGCUGGGGUUGCGCCGACGCUGAGACACGAAAGCCAGGGGAGCAAACGGG